CGAGCCUCCCCACCUUCAGCGUGGGGUGUGAGCUGGGGGAGUUCUUGCUAUGCUUGUUGCUAGUCAAUGGCAACCUGCAGGGAAGCUGAAGUUUAGAAACAAACUCACGUGGCGCUGCCGAUACACCACGGAUCAAGUUCUCAGCUGCCCUGGGCGCAGAAGCUCCUCUGGCCUUUGGCUCUUCUGGAAACGGAUUCUUCUCUUUAGAAGAUGAAAGGUAUUUAACCAUCAGGGAUGUGGUUUCAUCGCCACAUCUGUGUGUCAGAAGGAAGGAAGGGAGAGGAAGGCAGAUGGGCUACAGUCGCAAAGAUCCACGGCCAAGACUCCCCCAGAGCACGUGCUCUGGUGCAUGUUCUGUCCGCAGACUUGCUCAGCUGCACGAGCAGCUAGCACAAUGACCCUGUGAGUCAAAGGCCCUUGUGUAAUUCCUGGUGACUGUCGUGAAAGGAAUUUUGAGGACACAGAGCACAUGGAGUUUCCGUUCCUCAGAAAGAACAGACAACAGGUUCCCAUGUGGUGCACGGCCUUCCUACCUCAGCGGGUCCCUUCUACACUAGUUCCUCAAAGAGUGUCCUGGAUGUUGAGAACCGUGGAGAGCAGGGAAUACAGUGAGGAAAUGGAAAAUUGAGUGGUUGUUCGUGUGCUGAUGCAACCCACACCAGCUGCUUAUGUGGUGGGCUCUGCUCUGAGAAAUGGAGAUACAUGACGGUGACUUAAUCCCUGAGAUCAAGAAAUAGCAGGGGAGACAAAAGUGCACAGGAAACCUUCAACUUUAUGAUUGUAUGAAAAUUCCUGAUAGGAGUGAGCACAGGAAGGCACAGUGGCAGCAGAGAGGAGGGUCCCCUCACCCAGGCUCAGGAAGUCAGGAAGUAGGAGACCAUACAGAGGAAUGGAGGCUGGCAAACAAGGAGGACUGUAGGGGGAAGCAAGAGUGUCUUUUGAAGAAGUCUGUGCAUUGUGAGCAAAGGCCCAUAGAUCUGAUAGUAUGUUUAGCUUGUAGGAUUCCAACGAGUUGAUUCCAGCUACAGCAGCAUCUACAACAGCGGACAGCAUAAAGCCUUCCCCAAAUGGAAUUGACACUGAAGAAAACGAUUCAUCCUGAUGCACCAAAUUUAUAAAUCCGGGAGUAUUUAGAUGCCAUUCCAGCCAACCUCCCAUAUAGUUUAUAUUGAAGAAGUUAGGGAGUCAAAUCUUAAAGCUUUUUGGGAAAAACCAUAUCAUGAUGAACCCACAGUAUAACCAAAGGUCUACCAGACAUACUGAACACAGAGACAUGCUUUGGCACAUGGGCGACUCAGGGUUCCCAGUGACAAUGACCUUUUCUUUUGUGGUCUUGGUAUUUUUUGCAUGGGUGAAGGAAGAGGACUAGAAAAAGUUUGAUUGCCCCAGGAAAUUACAAUUCAGCAGGUCUUCUUGUAUUUUAUCAAUACGGAAUGAGAGAUUUUUUUCACUUGUUAGCUGGUCAAGGACAAAACUUCCAUUUUAGAAAGAAUGGCCUGAUACAUUCUGGGUAUGUUGGAAUUCUGGAGUUGGGAAUUUUUACCUGCCGACAUGGCAGAAUCGUGGUCAUUGAAUGGAGAGCCUUCAGACAAGACUCUUUCUGGGAACCUUUGAAUCAUUGCAGCUCCUAAGCCAUUAAAUUUCCUUUAAUCCAAUCUAGCAUCACGUUAUUUCAAAUAAAACUGUGCUAAUCCAGCAAAGAGAAGGAACAUCAUUUUCUGCACCAGCCAAGAGUCACGGAAGAACUUUAGGGGAGGAAGGAGAGGCAGGCAGCCCAAGUGAAGAAAUGCAUGUUUGGUGUUCUUAGCAGUGAUAUGGAGCUUGGUGAAUUUAGGGUUUCUUAAAUGUGUAUUGAAUGAGAGAUUAAUGAAAACAUGGUCAUAAUUCCUCAUGAUCCUACUGUCUCCAUGGCUGAAAUGAAGGGCCCUAAAGUAAUACAGUACUGCCAGAAAGAACACAAUGUUCCUUGAGGAAAUACAAUGUGGAAAAGAGUGAAACAAAUAUAGAAAUCAGAGCUUAUUUUACACACACACACACACACCCCAUAAAUGUGUUUGGGAAUUCUCUUAACAGAAAACUCCAGAGAGUAAGGUCAACCUAAAUAUAAUUUGGAACUCACUUCUCAUCUGUAUCAGAUUUCAACACACUUGA